rnacentral:rRNA from 1 species
GAUGAACGCUGGCGGCGUGCUUAACACAUGCAAGUCGAACGAUGAAGCCCAGCUUGCUGGGUGGUUUAGUGGCGAACGGGUGAGUAACACGUGAGUAACCUGCCCUUGACUCUGGGAUAAGCCUGGGCAACUGGGUCUAAUACUGGAUAUGACUUCUCAUCGCAUGGUGGGGGGUGGAAAGAUUUAUUGGUCUUGGAUGGACUCGCGGCCUAUCAGCUUGUUGGUGAGGUAAUGGUUCACGAAGGCGACGACGGGUAGCCGGCCUGAGAGGGUGACCGGCCACACUGGGACUGAGACACGGCCCAGAGUCCUACGGGAGGCAGCAGUGGGGAAUAUUGCACAAUGGGCGCAAGCCUGAUGCAGCGACGCCGCGUGAGGGAUGACGGCCUUCGGGUUGUAAACCUCUUUCAGUAGGGAAGAAGCGAGAGUGACGGUACCUGCAGAAGAAGCGCCGGCUAACUACGUG